CGUAAGCCGCCCCUUGGAGGUGAAGGACCAGGGCCCAGGGGCUGAGUUCUGUCCUGGUCAUGCCCGCCUCAAACCCACGCUGCCAUCACUGCCACGGCGCGGCCAUCACUCCCGCCGGCAGCACUCGCAGCCACUCCGGCCCAAACCUCCUGUCCCGGCAAAACCUCGAGUGUGCCCCAGCAAAUCCUCGACCCCGCUGACAAAUUCUCAGUCAGCGAGCGUCGUGUGCUCUUUUGCACAACACAUAUGCUACCUUAAUCAACUCCACGGACGCUGCGCCAACACCGUCUUUUCGAUGUCCUAGGACCUCGCGGCACAGAAUUAAGAGGAAAGUCAUACUGGACUACACCAGGCAAAAGACCACCGCGCAAACUAGGUACCAAGUCCUACUGAACCAGCCAGUUUUGCCUGCGUCAGGGGUGUGGGGCUGAGUCCCACACCCCUAAUAAAGAUGACCAGGUGUGUGCGAAGUGCGGGCGGCGCUUACUCGGCGACGGGCAGCGCUGCCUGCAGGCAGUCGUACCAUGGGGGGGCUCACGUUCUCACCAAGUCCAAGUGUGCAAUCACUGCGGGACGGUGUGGGUGAGUCCACUUUGCGGGCAGGCGGCUGGCUGGGUGACGGCUGGGUGGCUGGGUGACGGCUCAGAUGGGCUCAGUGGGUGAUGGCUGGCUGGGUGACGGCUCAGUGGGACUCAGUGGGGCUCAGUGGGGCUCAGUCGUGGGCUCAGUGGGGUUAAGUGGGUGACGGCUGGGUGUGUGAUGGGACAGGGUUCAAGGCAGGUUGGCGAGGUCCCGUAGGGUGCAGCCGAUGCCCAGACCCGUAAGCAGACAGCAAACAGUUUGCAGUGGCAGAGCAGAAGUGCAUGGCUGGUCGAACGCCGGCUGGGUGACGGCUCAGUCAUGGGCUCAGUGGGACUCACUCACUCUACCCUCCCGACGGUGCAGGGACGUGACGUCAACUCCGCAACCACGCGCUGGUGGAGAUGCUGCUGGGGCACAAGCGACCUGCAUCGCUGCAGACUGGCGGCGGCGGC
rnacentral:lncRNA from 1 species